rnacentral:rRNA from 1 species
AUUGAACGCUGGCGGCAUGCCUUACACAUGCAAGUCGAACGGUAACAGGGCUUCGGCCUGCCGGCGAGUGGCGAACGGGUGAGUAACGCAUCGGAACGUACCCAGUCAUGGGGGAUAACUACGCGAAAGCGUAGCUAAUACCGCAUACGCCCUGAGGGGGAAAGCGGGGGAUCGCAAGACCUCGCGUGAUUGGAGCGGCCGAUGUCGGAUUAGCUAGUUGGUGGGGUAAAGGCCUACCAAGGCGACGAUCCGUAGCGGGUCUGAGAGGAUGAUCCGCCACACUGGGACUGAGACACGGCCCAGACUCCUACGGGAGGCAGCAGUGGGGAAUUUUGGACAAUGGGGGCAACCCUGAUCCAGCCAUGCCGCGUGAGUGAAGAAGGCCUUCGGGUUGUAAAGCUCUUUCAGACGGAAAGAAAACGCCCCGGUUAAUACCUGGGGUGGAUGACGGUACUGUCAGAAGAAGCACCGGCUAACUACGUGCCAGCCGCCGCCGUAAAAC